rnacentral:rRNA from 1 species
CGGGGCUUAAAGUCUUGUAAUUGGAAUGAUGGGAAUUUAAACCUCUUCCAGAGUAUCAAUUGGAGGGCAAGUCUGGUGCCAGCAGCCGCGGUAAUUCCAGCUCCAAUAGCGUAUAUUAAAAUUGUUGCAGUUAAAAAGCUCGUAGUUGAAUUUCUGCUGCAUUGCUUGUGUCCCUCUGGGGUCUGUGCAUGUGGCUUUUUUCGGACGGAGUUUCUUUGUCUGAAUUUUUACUUUGAGAAAAUUAGAGUGCUCAAAGCAGGCUUUCGCCUUGAAUAGUUUAGCAUGGAAUAAUAAAGUAGGACUUUGGUUCUAUUUUGUUGGUUUUAGGUACCAAAGUAAUGGUUAAUAGGAACAGUUGGGGGCAUUCGUAUUUAACUGUCAGAGGUGAAAUUCUUAGAUUUGUUAAAGACGAACUACUGCGAAAGCAUUUGCCAAGGAUGUUUUCAUUAAUCAAGAAC